CGAGAAAAAUUGAAGAUUGGGCCAAAGGCCCACUCCUUAUAUAAAAGAGAUUGUAUUUUGUUGUUUUGGGCCUAAGCCCUUGUCAUUUCAUUUAUUACUAUCUUGUUAGAAUUUAGGAUAGGUGAAAAAUUGGGCCCAAGGCCCAAAGAAAAAUAUUUCUUUACGUUAGUUUAGGACAGGUGCAGGUGACUCAAAUGGGUCUAAGGCCCAAAACGAAAUGGGCCCAAGUAUUGGUCCAGGCGGAC
rnacentral:lncRNA from 1 species